AUAUAUUCGAUAUUAAAAUAGCCAUUAAAAGAUUUAAUCCAUUUCGGAACAAACAUAAAUGUUUUUAUGACAAAACUUUUAAAACUGUUGUGGAUACUUUUAAAAAUAUUCUUAACAAUACUUUUCGUGAAAAUAAUAUCUUAAAGGCUACUUAUAUCGAAAAAUUAGAAAAGGCUUCACGUUUACUAAACUGUUGUGUAUGUUUGCUAAAUUUUCAAUGCUCUAACGUACAAGAAGCUCUCCAGAUGUAUCCAAAAAAUACUCCAAAAAUGGACGUUACGGAGAAAAUUCCACAAAGAUUAACACUGUUUAAAUCGGGGACACAGAUUACCACUGUUGAAAACCGGCGCAGAUUCCGUUUUAGUUUUGGUCUGAAAAGAGAGUUAGGUUUUAAACUGCAAAAAAUUGCCUUAAACGUUACAUUAAAAAAUGCCGAAAUCGACAGUACCACUAUUAAGAAACUAUGCCGUUUAUUAAAUCCCGAGGAAGUCUUCAUCGCAACACUUUUGAAAAGCGAAUUCAAAUCUGUUAUUCCUUUAUUGUACAGGUCACCAUACAUCGCCUGGAAACUUGCAGAAGCUGGAUUCGAAACGGAUCCUCGUAUCGCCGAUUCGGAGGGAUUUUCUUCACUUUACUAUGCCGUGCUUACUACCGACGUGAAUCUUCUUCAUGUAUUGUAUGAUUAUGCUGCUAAUGGAUGCUGGGGGAAAGAAAAUUGUUCAUACAGAAGUCUUGAUAACGAUGUGUUUUCUAACGAUGUUGUUUCUUAUCUUGAUAAACUUGAUUCCGUUAUGAAAACAGAUCAAACACGAUCCAAAGAUUUUGCGGCAAUGAGAGAGAAUCAACGAAAAUUCAGUUUUAUACUGCAAGAAAUGCUUCUAUUCAAUAAUUUUUUAAAAGCAGUAACUAAAACCAUUAGAGGUAUUAGGUCUAAAAUGAAUGGUAGUACUCUCGUUUCUCAGGCUACUAAGAUAAAGGAGACCGUUUUAUCAAUUUUAGAGAUUUAUAACAAUUUCUUCGUCGUAGACGAAGAUACGUCGAUAGGUGAAAUUCAAACAGUAGCUGAUAUCAACCCCGCGGAUGAAACUGAUUGUGCUGAUGAAACGAAGGAGAUUAACCCCCUCGAUAAUUAUAAAACAUUUAAGCAUUUCUACGAUAACCUAGAUUUCACAUCUGCCCUUUUGUUUUUUGAUAACAUUUUUCUUUUGAAAAGUAAGUUAAAUUUAGGAAACAUAGCUCAGUAUUCUGAAAUAGAAUCCGCUUUCUUUUUGUCUGUGUUGAGUAACAAGUAUUUUACCACCAAUGUUAAAGCCAGGGCUUCUAUUCGUGGCAGACAGGGUUCUUUAAGCCAAAAAGUAAAUGAAGAUAAAUUAUGGUUAAAGGGUAACAGUAGCAACAUAUACGUAGUUCCGUGUCUUGAAAGAUUUCAACUUAGAGAAGUAAUAAAACGAUUUAUAGAAGUUCUUCGUGAGACCGAUGCGGAACUGUGGAACGCCCGAGAGCGUUUACCUAAAUGUGAAGUUACCGAAAGCCUGCUGAGUUUUCCGGAAAUUGAAGAUGAAUUAUUAAUUGCAAGAUUAAAACAUUAUGUUAAAACUGCGUUGUGCAUAGAAGUGGAUGAUGUCCAAUCUGUAUUUGUCAUCGAAAGGGCUCUCCAAGUAAUAGGCGAAAGUAUUAAAACAGAAGGUAAAACUGCUAAAUCCUAUUGUCAUCUGCUUUCUGCUUGUUUACCUUCUAAAACUGCAAGCACACUUCGGAAGAUUCGCAAUGCAUUAAGUAAUUUAAACGAUCAAGAACCCGAGAUUAAAUUCAACACAGAGAAAAAUUUUGAUCUCUUUUCAAAUAUUCAGACGGAAAUCAGAAAAAUAAAUGAUUUUUUCCAACCAGUUUAUGAACUUCAGAAUAUAAGAAUUAAAGAAUUCAUAUUUCAACGUAGCAAAACACUAGUGAAAGCAGCACGAGAAGAGUCGCAGAGAUUAUUGUACCUCUCUCCCAUGUACAAUUACGAACUUUUUAAUUCCUUCUUGAAGCUCGAAACUGAACUCGAUGAUCAAAAAGCAAAAUAUUCAGUUUCUUUUCAGGAAUUUAUUGAGAAAUAUGAACUGCUUUUUAAGAAUCUUGUUCACGCACUGGAAUCAAAAAUUAAUGAUCCAGAGGAAACUAAAAAUAAAAUUUUAUGGCCAUUGGAGCAUUUGCUAAAUUUUACAGUUGAACAUUUCCAAUUUUCCAAUUCUAAGAGAUUACUAGAAAUUAUGAAAAGCAAAAAUGAUGACGUCCAUAGAACACCUGAUCAUUUCGUUAAAAAUAUAAAGAAGUUUAUCUGUGAUUUAUACUCUCAAGAAAAUGAGACGGAAACCGAUGUAGGUAACAUUCAUCGAUUCAUACAAAUUAUUGCAGGGAAUAUAUAUGAUUAUUCAAAAGAGGAUCGAGACCAAAUAAUGGCUGAUAUUCCAGAAUGUGUGAAGUCUUCCAAAUAUAAAUUACAAGACUCGUUGGAAAAAGGCAUUUUGUUAAGUGAAGAAGAAAGAGAUGCAGAAAUUAAAAAUCUUAUUUUAUCUAACAAGAAACGUGAAAAGUUAAGAAAAUCUUAUAAAACUGAUUCAAAAAGAGCAUUGGAUAUUUUAAAAUUUGCCAUUGAACCCAUUAGUUACAUACAACAAAUAUUCAAUGGUGAAUCUAUAGGAGGAAAGGAAUUCGAAACAUUGUGUAAUGUGAUACCAUUUUCUUCAGAAAAUAAAAGGAAAUUAUCUGUGGCGGUAUUAGGAAACAAGCAAGUGGCAGCGCAUAGAGAUGCUUGUUCGAAUCUUUUAGACAGAAUACACCAUCUAAAGACUUUAGUAAUAGAGGCUAAUUCAGACAUACGUAAUUUAUGGGAUAAUGCCAGAAAUUGGAAAACUAAACAAUACACCACGCACAAAGUUGUUCAGCUAUAUAUGCGAGAUCCUAAAUUUCAAGCUUCGAUUGAAACGCUUCUCUUCGAUUGCAUGAAUAUUACUCGGAACAAAAGAUUGGGAUGCUUGUGGAAAAAAUCUUCCAGUCUCUUCAACGGCAUUAACUUACGAAAUGUCUUGGCUCACGGGAGUCCCAUUCUGGAGAAUCUGGGACAGCUCUUGGAUCCAGAAGACGUGCCAUCUUCAUUAGUGAACGAGAUUCUACAACUGAUCGCAGAUGAAGAUGCUAUUACAGCAAUGAGAGAUUUGCACCGUUUGACAAAAGAAACUUUUGGUAAUGUUAUGAAACAAGACGAAAAUGAUGAACAUAAAGAACUGCGAGAUCGUGUGAAGAUCUGCGACAACUGGGAAAAGUACUUCCCUUUGUUAAAUGGAAAUAUGAAAGAAUCCAGUUCUUCAAUUGGAAGCUCGAUUAGUGUGGUAUCUAAUGAAACUCAAAAUGUCUCUUAGAGAAAACAAUUUUGCAAAUUAUCUUCUUGCUUAAAAGAAAGACGAAAUGUUUCCAAUAUAUGAACCUUCGAUUAAGAAGUGCAUUGGUAUUAUGAGCUACUAGAUGAAGACCGCUAUGGGAUGGUGCCAGUACAUUCGAUUUCCGAGCCGCAGAGAGAGCUACUAUAUAUGAUUCAAAAAUACGCUUGCGGGUGAUCAAACACUAUGUGAGAGCUAUCUUCGGCAGCAAGGAUGUGAAUUUGAAAGUCAAAGACUUUCUCACUACAUUGGGAGUCGAACCUUCUUAUCCAUGGUCUGUAGUUGCCGGGUAUGAGAAUAUUAUCUGCAUUUUAAAGAAUUUUCACAAGUGCACGGGCCGUCCAUGCGUCAAAGAACUCAGGAGAAUGCCAAAGAUGACGAAGUUAAGGAAAGUUAAAAGAAAGUCAAAAACGAAAAAUGUGGAAGAACUUUCCAGAGAAAAAGAGAAGAGUAGAGAAAAAUUAUCAACAAUUCCUAAAAGUUAUUAUCCGGAACAUUACAUCUGAAGUUCUAAAAAUUUCAAAUAUUAUUUUUCCGUAUGAAAUUAUACUACCGAGAUAUUAAA